UUCGGAUUGUAGUCUGCAACCCGGCUACAUGAAGCUGGAAUCGCUAGUAAUCGCGGAUCAGAAUGCCGCGGUGAAUACGUUCCCGGGUCUUGUACACACCGCCCGUCACACCAUGGAAGUUGGGGGCGCCCGAAGUUGGUCGAAAGAUAGAUUACCUAAGGCGAAAUCAAUGACUGGGGUGAAGUCGUAACAAGGUACC
rnacentral:rRNA from 1 species